AGGCAGCAGUGGGGAAUAUUGCACAAUGGGGGAAACCCUGAUGCAGCAACGCCGCGUGGAGGAAGAAGGUCUUCGGAUUGUAAACUCCUGUCUUCUGGGACGAAGUAUGACGGUACCAGAGGAGGAAGCCACGGCUAACUAC
rnacentral:rRNA from 1 species